GACGAACGCUGGCGGCGUGCUUAACACAUGCAAGUCGAACGGAAAGGCCCUGCUUUUGUGGGUGCUCGAGUGGCGAACGGUGAGUAACACGUGAGUAACCUGCCCUUGACUUUGGGAUAACUUCAGGAAACUGGGGCUAAUACCGGAUAGGAGCUCCUGCUGCAUGGUGGGGUUGGAAAGUUUCGGCGGUUGGGGAUGGACUCGCGGCUUAUCAGCUUGUUGGUGGGGUAGUGGCUUACCAAGGCUUUGACGGGUAGCCGGCCUGAGAGGGUGACCGGCCACAUUGGGACUGAGAUACGGCCCAGACUCCUACGGGAGGCGGCAGUGGGGAAUAUUGCACAAUGGGCGGAAGCCUGAUGCAGCAACGCCGCGUGCGGGAUGACGG
rnacentral:rRNA from 1 species